rnacentral:rRNA from 1 species
GAGAGUGGAAAGUUCACNCAGUGACGGUAGCUUACCAGAAAGGGACGGCUAACUACGUGCCAGCAGCCGCGGUAAUACGUAGGUCCCGAGCGUUGUCCGGAUUUAUUGGGCGUAAAGGGAGCGCAGGCGGUCAGGAUAGUCUGGAGUAAAAGGCUAUGGNUCAACCAUAGUGUGCUCUGGAAACUGUCUGACUUGAGUGCAGAAGGNGAGAGUGGAAUUCCAUGUGUAGCGGUGAAAUGCGUAGAUAUAUGGAGGAACACCAGUGGCGAAAGCGGCUCUCUGGUCUGUCACUGACGCUGAGGCUCGAAAGCGUGGGUAGCGGACAGGAUUAGAUACCCUGGUAGUCCACGCCGUAAACGAUGAGUGCUAGGUGUUAGGCCCUUUCCGGGGCUUAGUGCCGGAGCUAACGCAAUAAGCACUCCGCCUGGGGAGUACGACCGCAAGGUUGAAACUCAAAGGAAUUGACGGGGGCCCGCACAAGCGGUGGAGCAUGUGGUUUAAUUCGAAGCAACGCGAAGAACCUUACCAGGUCUUGACAUCCCGAUGCUAUUCUUAGAGAUAGGAAGUUACUUCGGUACAUCGGAGACAGGUGGUGCAUGGUUGUCGUCAGCUCGUGUCGUGAGAUGUUGGGUUAAGUCCCGCAACGAGCGCAACCCUUAUUGUUAGUUGCCAUCAUUAAGUUGGGCACUCUAGCGAGACUGCCGGUAAUAAACCGGAGGAAGGUGGGGAUGACGUCAAAUCAUCAUGCCCCUUAUGACCUGGGCUACACACGUGCUACAAUGGUCGGUACAACGAGUUGCGAGCCGGUGACGGCAAGCUAAUCUCUGAAAGCCGAUCUCAGUUCGGAUUGGAGGCUGCAACUCGCCUCCAUGAAGUCGGAAUCGCUAGUAAUCGCGGAUCAGCACGCCGCGGUGAAUACGUUCCCGGGCCUUGUACACACCGCCCGUCACACCACGAGAGUUUGUAACACCCGAAGUCGGUGAGGUAACCUUUUAGGGGCCAGCCGC